rnacentral:lncRNA from 1 species
GUAAUUUUUUAUGCUGCAGAUAACUAAUACAUCUAAGUGUAAUUCCUAGCGCAAAGCUUCCCAGCAGGAGAACCAAGACACACUGGUAUGCGGAAUAUGGAUUACCGACGAGCCCAGGAGAUUGGUCCUUCAACCCCUGGGGCUGCCAGGAGCAGGUGCUCACAUUUCUGAGUGCAGAUUCUAUAGUCUUCGUUCAAGCAGCAGACCUCCUAUAGCUGAACUUCCUGGACAUUUGAGAGCCAAGCUCCAAGACAGUUUAUAUCCAGUUUCAUGUGAGUAUCUAUUUCUGGAUUGGAAAUAGACCCACAUUUACACCUAAGCACAAUUUUCUUUUCUUUUUUGUUUUUGCAGGGGAAGAUUCACCCUAAACUAACAUGUGUUGCCAACCUUGCUCCUUUUUCCUUCCUUUCCCCACUAAAGCCCCAAUACAUAGUUGUGUAGAGUUGUAAGUUCUUCUCGUUCUUCUGUGUGAGAUGCCGCCACAGCAUGGCUACUGA